rnacentral:tRNA from 1 species
GUCUUUUUAGUUUAUUAAAAUGUUAAUUUUGUAAAUUAGAGUUUUUGAGGCAUG